rnacentral:rRNA from 1 species
UACAGAGGUCUCAAGCGUUGUUCGGAUUCAUUGGGCGUAAAGGGUGCGUAGGCGGCGCGGUAAGUCGGGUGUGAAAUCUCGGAGCUUAACUUCGAAACUGCAUUCGAUACUGCCGUGCUUGAGGACUGGAGAGGAGACUGGAAUUUACGGUGUAGCGGUGAAAUGCGUAGAUAUCGUAAGGAAGACCAGUGGCGAAGGCGGGUCUCUGGACAGUUCCUGACGCUGAGGCACGAAGGUCAGGGGAGCAAAACGGGG